GACGAACGCUGGCGGCAUGCCUAAUACAUGCAAGUCGAGCGAACAGAUGAAGUGCUUGCACUUCUGACGUUAGCGGCGAACGGGUGAGUAACACGUAAGGAAUCUACCUAUAAGCGGGGGAUAACAUUCGGAAACGGGUGCUAAUUCCGCAUAAUAUCUUCUUCCGCAUGGAAGAAGAUUGAAAGACGGCUCUGCUGUCACUUAUAGAUGACCUUGCGGUGCAUUAGUUAGUUGGUGGGGUAACGGCCUACCAAGACGAUGAUGCAUAGCCGACCUGGGAGGGUGAUCGGCCACAUUGGGACUGAGACACGGCCCAAACUCCUACGGGAGUCAGCAGUAGGGAAUCUUCCGCAAUGGGCGAAAGCCUGACGGAGCAAUGCCGCGUGAGUGAAGAAGGCCUUCGGGUCGUAAAACUCUGUUAUAAGAGAAGAACAAAUUGUAGAGUAACUGCUACAGUCUUGACGGUAUCUUAUCAGAAAGCCACGGCUAACUACGUGCCAGCCGCCGCGGUAA
rnacentral:rRNA from 1 species